AUUGAACGCUAGCGGGAUGCUUUACACAUGCAAGUCGAACGAGUGGCGGACGGGUGAGUAAUGCAUGGGAACGUGCCCAGUAGCGGGGGAUAACUACUCGAAAGAGUGGCUAAUACCGCAUACUAUAGGAUGAGCCCAUAUGGGAUUAGCUAGUUGGUGGGGUAAAGGCUCACCAAGCCAACGAUCCGUAGCUGGUUUGAGAGGACGACCAGCCACACUGGGACUGAGACACGGCCCAGACUCCUACGGGAGGCAGCAGUGGGGAAUUUUGGACAAUGGGGGAAACCCUGAUCCAGCCAUCCCGCGUGUAUGAGAAGGCCUUCGGGUUGUAAAGUACUUUUGGCAGAGAAGCGGUAUCUGCAGAAGAAGCACCGGCUAACUACGUGCCAGCAGCCGCGGUAAUAC
rnacentral:rRNA from 1 species